rnacentral:lncRNA from 1 species
GUAAAUCUGUACUCUGCUCUGAGCUGUGGCAUUGGUGUCCUCUGUGCUUUGAAAAUCACCAGUGAUGUUGGUGAUAGUGAAGGGGAACUCUCCUGCUGGGAUGGUAGGAGCAGCACUGGAGAGUUUGGGGAUACUUGAUUUCCUUACCUCCCACCCCUAUUCCAAGGUGCCUGUGGAAUUAGGUUGCUAGAGCUCUCAGUUGUUAGACUGAGCUGAUACCACAGGUAUGUACACAUUAAGACUAGAUGCAUGAGCAUCUGUGCCUGUCUGCUUUGUGUGUUUCCUGCUCAGAUUCAGUUGGAAACCAUGCUUUUCUUUACUUUCACAAGGGUGAUCUUGUGUUAGUGAGGAGGAGGAUGUAAACACCUGAGACCUGCCUUCGUGUUUGACCAGAACAGUUGAUAAACUAGUCUCGCUUCCUAACUGUAACUAUUUUUUCUUUUCUGUAAUGAGGCUCCUCCAUCCAAGGGAUAUAGUCCCACUUUAUUUUUCCAAAUACCUGGCUGUGAGUAUGUCUCCAAAGUAACAGAAAGGAUGGGCAAACUCCUCCACUGAUGGAUGGAGCUGCUUGCGUCCCCUCCGGCAGCUUUGCUUCCCUGGCCAGUGUCUGAAGCCAGUCUGUGUUGGAGCCUUCAUUCAGUAGCUGAUGGAAGCAGAAGCAGACACCCACAGCUAAGCACUGAGCUGAGCUCUGGAAUCCAGUUGCAGAGAGGGAGGAGGAAUGAGCAAAGGGGUCAAGACCAUGCUGGGGAAACCCACAGAAAUAGCUGACCUGAACAAGGGGGAAUUCACGGACACCAGACUGAUAGCUGGGAAACCAGCAUAGGACUGAACCAGGCCACAAGAAUGUGG